UUGGGGUGUUUCGGUGCUGUGCGCUGAAGCUGAGAAAAACCCAUUGAACCUGAACCAGGUCAUGCUGGCGGAGGAAAGCGGAAA
rnacentral:ncRNA from 1 species